rnacentral:rRNA from 1 species
ACGUAGGUGGCAAGCGUUGUCCGGAAUUAUUGGGCGUAAAGCGCGCGCAGGCGGUCCUUUAAGUCUGAUGUGAAAGCCCACGGCUCAACCGUGGAGGGUCAUUGGAAACUGGGGGACUUGAGUGCAGAAGAGGAAAGUGGAAUUCCACGUGUAGCGGUGAAAUGCGUAGAGAUCGGGAGGAACACCAGUGGCGAAGGCGGCCUUCUGGACCAGUACUGACGCUCAUGCACGAAAGCGUGGGGAGCAAACAGGA